CAACAGUCUCAUCAUUUUAAUAUGUCGAUGUAUAUCAUAAGGUCAUACUUAAAUCUAUGAUGUAAUCAUCAUACAUGUGUACUUUUAUGUAUGAUGUAUAUUAUCAUACAGAAACAUUGAUAACCUGAUCCACCCCACCCCCCCCCCACUCUAACCCCUAACUAGAGUCACCUAACCCCCCUAACCGGCUCACCCUAAUGGCAAGGUGAAACGAAAAUUAAAAUUUCAUAAUUAAUUUAAUUCUGUUUCUUUUUAGAUUUUAAAUGUUAGAAAACUUUUUAUUAUUGUCUAAACUACCUGGC